rnacentral:rRNA from 1 species
AAUAUUGGACAAUGGGGGCAACCCUGAUCCAGCCAUGCCGCGUGUGUGAAGAAGGUCUUCGGAUUGUAAAGCACUUUAAGUUGGGAGGAAGGGCUUUAGGUUAAUACCCUGAAGUUUUGACGUUACCAACAGAAUAAGCACCGGCUAACUCUGUGCCAGCAGCCGCGGUAAUACAGAGGGUGCAAGCGUUAAUCGGAAUUACUGGGCGUAAAGGGCGGGUAGGUGGUUUCAGAAGAUGGGUGUGAAAUCCCCGGGGUUAACCUGGGGACUGCUUUCAUAACUGCUGAGCUAGAGUACGGGAGAGGGUAGGGGAAAUUCCUGUGUAGCGGUGAAAUGCGUAGAUAUAAGGAGGAACACCAGUGGCGAAGGCGACUAACUGGACUGAUACUGACACUGAGGUGCGAAAGCGUGGGGAGCAAA